rnacentral:rRNA from 1 species
GGUUAAGCGACUAAGCGUACACGGUGGAUGCCCUGGCAGUCAGAGGCGAUGAAGGACGUGCUAAUCUGCGAUAAGCGUCGGUGAGGUGAUAUGAACCGUUAUAACCGGCGAUUUCCGAAUGGGGAAACCCAGUGUGUUUCGACACACUAUCAUUAACUGAAUCCAUAGGUUAAUGAGGCGAACCGGGGGAACUGAAACAUCUAAGUACCCCGAGGAAAAGAAAUCAACCGAGAUUCCCCCAGUAGCGGCGAGCGAACGGGGAGGAGCCCAGAGCCUGAAUCAGUGUGUGUGUUAGUGGAAGCGUCUGGAAAGGCGUGCGAUACAGGGUGACAGCCCCGUACACAAAAAUGCACAUACUGUGAGCUCGAUGAGUAGGGCGGGACACGUGGUAUCCUGUCUGAAUAUGGGGGGACCAUCCUCCAAGGCUAAAUACUCCUGACUGACCGAUAGUGAACCAGUACCGUGAGGGAAAGGCGAAAAGAACCCCGGCGAGGGGAGUGAAAAAGAACCUGAAACCGUGUACGUACAAGCAGUGGGAGCCUCUUAAUGGGGUGACUGCGUACCUUUUGUAUAAUGGGUCAGCGACUUAUAUUCUGUAGCAAGGUUAACCGAAUAGGGGAGCCGAAGGGAAACCGAGUCUUAACUGGGCGUUAAGUUGCAGGGUAUAGACCCGAAACCCGGUGAUCUAGCCAUGGGCAGGUUGAAGGUUGGGUAACACUAACUGGAGGACCGAACCGACUAAUGUUGAAAAAUUAGCGGAUGACUUGUGGCUGGGGGUGAAAGGCCAAUCAAACCGGGAGAUAGCUGGUUCUCCCCGAAAGCUAUUUAGGUAGCGCCUCGUGAAUUCAUCUCCGGGGGUAGAGCACUGUUUCGGCAAGGGGGUCAUCCCGACUUACCAACCCGAUGCAAACUGCGAAUACCGGAGAAUGUUAUCACGGGAGACACACGGCGGGUGCUAACGUCCGUCGUGAAGAGGGAAACAACCCAGACCGCCAGCUAAGGUCCCAAAGUCAUGGUUAAGUGGGAAACGAUGUGGGAAGGCCCAGACAGCCAGGAUGUUGGCUUAGAAGCAGCCAUCAUUUAAAGAAAGCGUAAUAGCUCACUGGUCGAGUCGGCCUGCGCGGAAGAUGUAACGGGGCUAAACCAUGCACCGAAGCUGCGGCAGCGACACUAUGUGUUGUUGGGUAGGGGAGCGUUCUGUAAGCCUGUGAAGGUGUACUGUGAGGUAUGCUGGAGGUAUCAGAAGUGCGAAUGCUGACAUAAGUAACGAUAAAGCGGGUGAAAAGCCCGCUCGCCGGAAGACCAAGGGUUCCUGUCCAACGUUAAUCGGGGCAGGGUGAGUCGACCCCUAAGGCGAGGCCGAAAGGCGUAGUCGAUGGGAAACAGGUUAAUAUUCCUGUACUUGGUGUUACUGCGAAGGGGGGACGGAGAAGGCUAUGUUGGCCGGGCGACGGUUGUCCCGGUUUAAGCGUGUAGGCUGGUUUUCCAGGCAAAUCCGGAAAACCAAGGCUGAGGCGUGAUGACGAGGCACUACGGUGCUGAAGCGACAAAUGCCCUGCUUCCAGGAAAAGCCUCUAAGCAUCAGGUAACAUUAAAUCGUACCCCAAACCGACACAGGUGGUCAGGUAGAGAAUACCAAGGCGCUUGAGAGAACUCGGGUGAAGGAACUAGGCAAAAUGGUGCCGUAACUUCGGGAGAAGGCACGCUGAUAUGUAGGUGAAGCGACUUGCUCGUGGAGCUGAAAUCAGUCGAAGAUACCAGCUGGCUGCAACUGUUUAUUAAAAACACAGCACUGUGCAAACACGAAAGUGGACGUAUACGGUGUGACGCCUGCCCGGUGCCGGAAGGUUAAUUGAUGGGGUUAGCGGUAACGCGAAGCUCUUGAUCGAAGCCCCGGUAAACGGCGGCCGUAACUAUAACGGUCCUAAGGUAGCGAAAUUCCUUGUCGGGUAAGUUCCGACCUGCACGAAUGGCGUAAUGAUGGCCAGGCUGUCUCCACCCGAGACUCAGUGAAAUUGAACUCGCUGUGAAGAUGCAGUGUACCCGCGGCAAGACGGAAAGACCCCGUGAACCUUUACUAUAGCUUGACACUGAACAUUGAGCCUUGAUGUGUAGGAUAGGUGGGAGGCUUUGAAGUGUGGACGCCAGUCUGCAUGGAGCCGACCUUGAAAUACCACCCUUUAAUGUUUGAUGUUCUAACGUGGGCCCCUUACCGGGGUUGCGGACAGUGUCUGGUGGGUAGUUUGACUGGGGCGGUCUCCUCCUAAAGAGUAACGGAGGAGCACGAAGGUUGGCUAAUCCUGGUCGGACAUCAGGAGGUUAGUGCAAUGGCAUAAGCCAGCUUGACUGCGAGCGUGACGGCGCGAGCAGGUGCGAAAGCAGGUCAUAGUGAUCCGGUGGUUCUGAAUGGAAGGGCCAUCGCUCAACGGAUAAAAGGUACUCCGGGGAUAACAGGCUGAUACCGCCCAAGAGUUCAUAUCGACGGCGGUGUUUGGCACCUCGAUGUCGGCUCAUCACAUCCUGGGGCUGAAGUAGGUCCCAAGGGUAUGGCUGUUCGCCAUUUAAAGUGGUACGCGAGCUGGGUUUAGAACGUCGUGAGACAGUUCGGUCCCUAUCUGCCGUGGGCGCUGGAGAACUGAGGGGGGCUGCUCCUAGUACGAGAGGACCGGAGUGGACGCAUCACUGGUGUUCGGGUUGUCAUGCCAAUGGCACUGCCCGGUAGCUAAAUGCGGAAGAGAUAAGUGCUGAAAGCAUCUAAGCACGAAACUUGCCCCGAGAUGAGUUCUCCCUGACUCCUUGAGAGUCCUGAAGGAACGUUGAAGACGACGACGUUGAUAGGCCGGGUGUGUAAGCGCAGCGAUGCGUUGAGCUAACCGGUACUAAUGAACCGUGAGGCUUAACCUU